UUUUACUAUAAUGUCAGUGGAUGUGGCUUUUUGUUGUUGAUGGAUGACGGCAAGAUGCAAAGACAAAGAAGGUGAAGAACGGGUUUUGUAGGUUUGCCCGCCUUUCCGGUGGGAGAUGAAGAUGACUCAGGUGCGUUCUGGCCAAGUUAGGGUUCCGACAAUUUUUCUUGUAAGUCGUAUUUCUCCUGCAUGUUCUAUUUUCGGGCUGUGGUUGAAAUGGUGUGGCUGUUCUGGUUAUGG